UGCUAUGUGCUCCUUGCAGAAAGUUACGGCAACAUGCUCAGAUACACAAAGUACAAGCUCAAUAUAGCUGCCAUGGCGUGCGGUCGGCAAAUGCAAGGACAAAACUAUGAGGAUUGCAUCAAAGAUCGGCAAGAUAUAUUUCAAGUCCAUAUGAUGUUAUGAAACCUCCUUUCCUGCAUAAGAGCGGUUUAUUGUUACCGCCCUAAACCUGCAUGAAGAGAGACUGACUUUUCAGUUGUCAUUCUGAAAAUAAUAAGUAGCAUCACUGAAAGAACAACUUGAAAGCUUAAAACCCAACAAGAGCAUGUGUAUGGUGCUUCAGUAAAUGUAUCUAUCCCGGGACAAGCAAACAGUUGCAAAUCCGUUCAUUGAGCCGUAAACUAGCAGAAGAAGUGCAAAAUCAUCGUUUUCUUAGUUUGAUGCAUGAGAUUUACCAAUUACAACAAAAUGACGGCUUGGACUGCAUGUACUGCAAACUGCCUCAACAGAAGGAUUCAGCUUGUCUAUUGGGUUUAGCAUUUAACUAGAGAAUCAAUCGGCUGAUAAUUUCUUUCCCAUUUCAGGCCGGCAAAAGAAGAUGGUCACAUCAAUAUCAGCUGAAGAUUCUUCACCCCAAAUGGGCAGUGUUGAGUAGAGUGGCAAAUAAUAUAGAUACAGUGCCAAGUAUUGCAGGCACAUUGGCUAUUCCUUCAGUAGACAAUAACAUAUACAAUCCUAUGAAAAUAUAGCACAUAAAUAACAAUUUGUUCCAACAAGAUCCAGAAUAUGGCUAAGCUGCACCCUACAAUACGAUUGCUAUCGUAUUUUGUCAUUGAACAGAAGAAAAAGAAUUCUCUUCCCUACAAAGACAACACCAAACUAACCGGUUAAGCAGCAGUAUGCCCAGUCUAGCAACAUAAUGUUGUUGCUCUGCAGCAGUUAGACCUACUCCACAUAAAUAAUGUCUCCAUCAGGAUCCCCG
rnacentral:lncRNA from 1 species